rnacentral:rRNA from 1 species
AGAGCGAACGCUGGCGGCAGGCCUAAUACAUGCAAGUCGAACGGACCCUUCGGGGUUAGUGGCGGACGGGUGAGUAACACGUGGGAACGUGCCCUUUGGUUCGGAACAACUCAGGGAAACUUGAGCUAAUACCGAAUGUGCCCCCUCUUUGAUUAGGGGGGUGGAAAGAUUUAUCGCCAUUGGAGCGGCCCGCGUCUGAUUAGCUAGUUGGUGGGGUAAAGGCCCACCAAGGCUACGAUCAGUAGCUGGUCUGAGAGGAUGAUCAGCCACACUGGGACUGAGACACGGCCCAGACUCCUACGGGAGGCAGCAGUAGGGAAUCUUGCGCAAUGGGCGAAAGCCUGACGCAGCCAUGCCGCGUGAAUGAUGAAGGUCUUAGGAUUGUAAAAUUCUUUCAGCGGGACGAUAAUGACGGUACCGCAGAAGAAGCCCGGCUAACUUCGCGCCAGCAGCCGC